GUAGGGAGGAUUGUUGGCUCUGCAAAGUGACAAACCAUAUCUACUUGUAAUGUUGUUAGGAAUUGCCUGAAAAGUGGAAGAAUCUUAGAAAGAUUGCCUUUACUGUAAAGCUUGAUGUGGUACCUCUGCGGUCCAGUGAAGUGUCUGUUAUCAGAAGAAAAUGUGCACUUUUGGAGGUUAAACAGUAUGGCUAUAGAAACAGAUUCAGAACUUGAGGUUUCACUCUCAAGUUCCUUUUCAGGAUAUGGGUAAGGACCACACAAUGAUCUUUCGCAAUUAUCAAACAUGAUGACCUACCUUACCUACUAGCUUUCCCUCUGGGACAACUAUAUCUGACAAAAAAGCAUGGAAAAAUGGGAGUGAAGAAGAUAUGUUUCUAGACAAAGCAAAAAUGGUCUCAUGGUGCUUAUCCAGGUACUGGCAGAUGAUGGAAGACAAAAUCUUUUUGUGCCACCUCAUAAAGAUAUUUCAAAGCUGUAGGUUGAGCUGAAAGUACUUUCAGCUACAGCUUUCUAAAGCAAGCAGAACAGAUUACAUAGAUGACUGAAACAUGUCAUUUGUUACAGCCUGUAUGUACAGUCAUGCAGUAUCCUUUCAUAUGUAAGGCCUCUAUCCAUUAUUUGCCUUCAUUUAAGGAAAGAGGAGACAGAACAUCCAUGAAGAGAAAAGCAUAGAGAGUUUCAGAUGUUUGUUGUUUAUUUCUUCUGAAUUUAGAGACCCCUUAAAUGGUUGGAGGGAAGAAACUUAUUCCCUUUCAUUUCGUUUCUAUUUCUUGUGGUUACUACAAACAUUAAGGAAGCCCCUUGUUUUCUCAUUUGAAUAUUAUAAUUUUAAAUUAUUUAUGCACACGUAAGCAAAAAUUAUUGAAAAGCAGGCAAAAUAAAAUUAAGAGAAAACAGAUGGCAGGCAAACAUAAAUGUGAUAUUUGAUGAUCUUUCUUUACUCUUACUCUAUCAUUUUCAAGUAUUUUAUCCCUCUCAACUUUUUGAAAAACUGGAAUUCUGAAACUCAAUAGUGAAUGUUCUAUGAAGAAAUUGGAAGAGAAGCUUUGCUUUCCUUCUCUUACUGCCUUGCCUCCUUGUUUGUGUUAACAUAUAUUACGUAAAUAUUUGUUUGUAAUAGUUAAAUGAAAGGAUGAAGGAUUUAGUAAAGGAUAUCUGAUUUCAAAAUGAAGCUCUCACGUUUUACAUUGCUUAGGCUUGCAAGAGCUACAAUAAAACAGAUGUAAGAAUGUAAAGUAUACAGAAUCUCAGCUUGUGGCAUCACUCUUCUGCUUUUCAAAAGUUAAUUGCAAAUUCUACUUACUAGAAAAAGUAUUAAUAUCACUUGUUCUGGAAAAGCAAUGCUAUGAGAGAGUGAAGCUCUCCUCAGUGUACUUACAUUUUUCUGUAGAAAACAGAAGCACUGACUCAAAAAAGUAAAUUCCUUCACAGUAGCUGGUAAUCUGGGACUCUGAUUCUUCAGCUACAAGAUAUACUCAACUAGUUCCCUCUGAAAUAAUGGUCAUAACUGAUCUAAAGAACAGAACACAGAUCACCACAUAGUAUGGUGACUGGUCCAGACAGAAAAGAACCAUUGCAAACUGAAUUGAAUGCAGAGUUUCUAAGGACUUAGUUAUAUCAGGACUUAUUUGGUGGUGUUGCUUCAAAUAUUUUUUCACAGAUGGAAUACCCCAUUAUUUAUUAUGACUAGAACAGAGCUGCUGUUUUAGUGUAUUUCCCAAUAUGAGAGCCAGGAAAGAAUCUUGGAAAGGAUGUAUAUUUACUUGAGGUUUGUUAGUUGUUCCACUUUGGAAGAGCCUUUGUCCUCCUGUGACCCCACUAGCGAAGGAGUUUGGUGGAACAGGCCUGUAUGUAUCAGCAUAUCUUUCAGUAGGUGUAAGAUUAAUUAACACGUUUUCUCUUGAUAAAACAGAAGCAUCCAAGUAUCAAGUGGCAGCAAGACUGCUUGUAAGGUUGGGUUAAGGACAAUAUUGACACAUGAAGCAGUCACUGCAGAAUGUUUUUGCAGUCAGUGGAGAGAAAUGAGGACUUUCUGGGUCCAAUUCAUCUGAGCAGUUUAUGAAGGCUGCUCCUAUUUUAUUAUGUUGACCCAUCACAUCAGAGACAGAUGAGACUGAACCUUCCCAGCGGUGUUCCGCUACAUUUUAUUGCCAUAAGACAGAUGGAAGCAGAGGGGCAGUUUGGCAGAAUGGCAUCUGACAUGGAAGUGCAUGUGAAGUAAAUUUGGGUCCUUAUAGAAAAAAUGGCACCCAUUGACAUUCAUCAGUGUUUAUGGAGGGGAUGUGAGCUCAUUGAGAUGGUGGGUGGUGUGUUUCAGCAGUGAUGACAGUGACAUGAAAGAUGAACCACUUUCUAGAUGGCCAUGUGGAUUCUGAUGGCAUACAGGUUCUUGUUCAGCGCUGGCCAAAAUGCAUAGCUAAUGGUGAUGACUAUGUUGAAAAAUAGCAUUCUGAGAAUGAGCACUCUCAAAUAGAGUUAUUGUACACUCUUUCAUAGUUUCCGUAGAAAUAAAUAGGAGACAUUACUUUCAGAACAACCUGCAUUGAUGUCCCCUUUAGGACAGGUUUAAUUAGAUGCUAUGGACAGCUGACUCUUAGUUAGAUCUCUAGUGACCCCAUGUUGAACUGGUUUUGUUUGUUCUAACUAGGUUUUUGUAUCAUCUUACCUAAGUAACUUGAGAUAAGCAAGUGCGUUCUUAUCGUGAUACUGUUAAAUGUAAAUACCCACACAGAGAUUUUAACCAAAUCUCUUAGCAUCCGUAUAACAGAAUCUACUUUUUGUAAGCUGAUGUUUAUCCCUUUCCGUAUACAAAGAGCUUAUGCAUUUGUAUUACUAAUGAGCAUCCAUUCAUGACCAGAAGUGGCUGGGAACAAAAGUUGCUUGUUCAAGCUGUGCAUAGGCAAAUUUACAGCCUAAUAUAGGUGCUUUUGUGUGCCAGACCCAGGAAAUAAAAUUAUAUAUGUACACACUGAGGACAAGGUGUUGCUUAAUAUUGUAUUUAUAAUAAACUGCA